rnacentral:rRNA from 1 species
AACCUGCCCAAGAGAUCGGGAUAACACCUGGAAACAGAUGCUAAUACCGGAUAACAAUAGAUGAUGCCUAUCAACUGUUUAAAAGAUGGUUCUGCUAUCACUCUUGGAUGGACCUGCGGUGCAUUAGCUAGUUGGUAGGGUAACGGCCUACCAAGGCGAUGAUGCAUAGCCGAGUUGAGAGACUGAUCGGCCACAUUGGGACUGAGACACGGCCCAAACUCCUACGGGAGGCAGCAGCC